GAUUAUUAAAUAUAAAUUUGAUACCACAGGACAAUCGAACCUCAUUAGACGCAUUGGUAUAACUGGUAUACCCCAAACACCCAAUGAAAACUGUUUGGAAAUCGUGAAAGAAAUCGGUUUUAAAAUCAACUCAAUACACAACGUAAAUGUAAUAGAAGCAAACGGACAAAAUUUUAGCCACACUCAUAGCAAAAAAUCAUAGCAAAACUUGAAACAAUCGAAAUGAAAAAAUCUAAUCCACAACAGUAAAACAUCUAAACUAUCAGCAAACAACUUACUUAGCACCUGGUCCGAAAAAAGCAAAAGUAUUUAUUAAUAAACGAUUAACAUAAGAAAGAUGAUCUUUAAAUGGGAAACCAAGAGCAUAUGGCAAGGAAAAGAAUUUCAAAUUCGUACGGGUGAACCCAAUACUUCAUCCAAUAGAAUAUUUUUUUUUUAAUAAGCGUUUCGAAAUCAAAUUUAAAUGAAUAUCGCAAAAAAAAAUUACGGCACUUCUAAUUAUGUAUUACCGAACUGCGCUUAGAAUCGUCUUUCGUCAGCAAUGGUUUAUCGUUAAUUGCAGAUAUAAAUGAAAUAACAUUAUGCACCCUAAUUUUCCAUUUCCCACCUACAACAGUGGCUGCACCCGUUC